UUUUCAUCACUUUCACUGAACACAAGCCCGUCUGUUUUCGCUACCUUCUCGCUCAGCAAUACACAGGAUGUCAUGUCAGCGGCCCAAAGCCUCCAAUCACUGGACCACUGGAGUCUGUGACUGUUUGAGCUUUGACAAUAAAGUAGAAUGUUGCGUUUCGUUCUGCUGCUUUCCUUUUUUUGCGUGUAAAACGGCUCAGAGGUAUGGCGAGUGUUUUUUCCUUCCCCUGAUUGAUCAGUUUGGUUUGAUGAGGGUGUCCAUGCGCCAUCACUACAACAUCGAGGGUACUAUAGCGAGGGACUGCUGUCUUACCUUCUUUUGUUGUCCCUGUGUAUGGUGUCAGAUGUCUCGAGAAAUGGACGCCCGUGAACCUGCCACAAAUCAACCUAGAUAAGCACAACUGCCAUGAUAUUUUGGUACUAUAUAUAUAUAUAUAUAUAUAUAUAUAUAUAUAUAUAUAUAUAUAUAUAUAUAUAUAUAUAUA